CCUACGGGAGGCAGCAGUGAGGAAUAUUGGUCAAUGGGCGCGAGCCUGAACCAGCCAAGUCGCGUGAGGGAGGACGGCUCUACGGGUUGUAAACCUCUUUUGCCGGGGAGCAACGGGCGCCACGUGUGGCGUCACUGAGAGUACCCGGAGAAAAAGCAUCGGCUAACGCCGUGCCAGCAGCCGCGGUAAUACGGGGGAUGCGAGCUUUAUCCGGAUUUAUUGGGUUAAAAGGGUGCGUAGGCGGAUCGUUAAGUCAGUGGUCAAAUGGAGGGGCCCAACCCCUUCCCGCCAUUGAAACUGGCGUUCUUGAGUGGACGAGAAGUAUGCGGAAUGCGCGGUGUAGCGGUGAAAUGCAUAGAUAUCACGCAGAACCCCGAUUGCGAAGGCAGCAUGCCGGCUUCCGACUGACGCUGAAGCACGAAAGCGUGGGGAUCGAACAGGAUUAGAUACCCGGGUAGUC
rnacentral:rRNA from 1 species